GCGGCUGUGGCUCAGUGGAUAGAGCGUCUGUUUUUUAAGCAGAAAGUCGUCGGUUCGACCUCUACCUGUGGCG
rnacentral:tRNA from 1 species